rnacentral:rRNA from 1 species
UACGUAGGGGGCUAGCGUUGUCCGGAAUCAUUGGGCGUAAAGAGCGUGUAGGCGGCUCGGUAAGUCCGCUGUGAAAGUCCAGGGCUCAACCCUGGAAUGCCAGUGGAAACUGUCGAGCUAGAGUCCGGAAGAGGCGAGUGGAAUUCCUGGUGUAGCGGUGAAAUGCGCAGAUAUCAGGAGGAACACCAAUGGCGAAGGCAGCUCGCUGGGACGGUACUGACGCUGAGAGGCGAAAGCCAGGGGAGCGAACGGG